UCAAACUUGGUCAUUUAGAGGAAGUAAAAGUCGUAACAAGGUCUCCGUAGGUGAACCUGCGGAGGGAUCAUUAAUGAAUGAUCAUCCUUGAUCUUCUUACCCUCAAACCACUGUGGAACACAAGAUGUGCUUCGGCGCCUCGUAGGCGCCGCCUUUAUGCUUCAACCAUGUCUUUUUUGUCAGAUGAAUCAAAAUGUCAAAACUUUCAACAAAGGAUCUCUUGGCUCUCUAGAGGAAGUAAAAGUCGUAACAAGGUCUCCGUAGGUGAACCUGCGGAGGGAUCAUUAAUGAAUGAUCAUCCUUGAUCUUCUUACCCUCAAACCACUGUGGAACACAAGAUGUGCUUCGGCGCCUCGUAGGCGCCGCCUUUAUGCUUCAACCAUGUCUUUUUUGUCAGAUGAAUCAAAAUGUCAAAACUUUCAACAAAGGAUCUCUUGGCUCUCGCAUCGAUGAAGAACGCAGC
rnacentral:misc_RNA from 1 species